GACGAACGCUGGCGGCGUGCUUAACACAUGCAAGUCGAACGGAAAGGCCCUGCUUUUGUGGGGUGCUCGAGUGGCGAACGGGUGAGUAACACGUGAGUAACCUGCCCUUGACUUUGGGAUAACUUCUGGAAACUGGGGCUAAUACAGGAUAGGAGCUCCUGCUGCAUGGGGGGGGUUGGAAAGUUUCGGCGGUUGGGGAUGGACUCGCGGCUUAUCAGCUUGUUGGUGGGGUAGUGGCUUACCAAGGCUUUGAAGGGUAGCCGGCCUGAGAGGGUGACCGGCCACAUUGGGACUGAGAUACGGCCCAGACUCCUACGGGAGGCAGCAGUGGGGAAUAUUGCACAAUGGGCGGAAGCCUGAUGCAGCAACGCCGCGUGCGGGAUGACGGCCUUCGGGUUGUAAACCGCUUUCGCCUGUGACGAAGCGUGAGUGACGGUAAUGGGUAAAGAAGCACCGGCUAACUACGUG
rnacentral:rRNA from 1 species